GACGAACGCUGGCGGCGUGCCUAAUACAUGCAAGUAGAACGCUGAAGAGAGGAGCUUGCUCUUCUUGGAUGAGUUGCGAACGGGUGAGUAACGCGUAGGUAACCUGCCUUGUAGCGGGGGAUAACUAUUGAAAACGAUAGCUAAUACCGCAUAACAAUGGAUGACCCAUGUCAUUUAUUUGAAAGGGGCAAAUGCUCCACUACAAGAUGGACCUGCGUUGUAUUAGCUAGUAGGUGAGGUAACGGCUCACCUAGGCGACGAUACAUAGCCGACCUGAGAGGGUGAUCGGCCACACUGGGACUGAGACACGGCCCAGACUCCUACGGGAGGCAGCAGUAGGGAAUCUUCGGCAAUGGGGGCAACCCUGACCGAGCAACGCCGCGUGAGUGAAGAAGGUUUUCGGAUCGUAAAGCUCUGUUGUAAGUCAAGAACGAGUGUGAGAGUGGAAAGUUCACACUGUGACGGUAGCUUACCAGAAAGGGACGGCUAACUACGUG
rnacentral:rRNA from 1 species